rnacentral:lncRNA from 7 species
CCAUGUUCCGGACGGGCUCUGGCGCCUGUGCGCUGCGGUUCAACGGUGCAAGCUCGACGGCGGGUCGACGAGUGGCUCCAAGUCACACAGGUGGCGCCACACUCCAAUCCAAGGUUCUCCAGAGCAGGCCAGUGACAAGCGGGCGGGCAGCGGGAACGGGAUGGCGAUAUGGCAGCGGCAGCGAAGUGCUUCGUCCUUUAAUAGAGGAUGGGGCCGGGUGCGCGUCGUGCCGUGCCAUGCCG